UGAUCAUUAUCUUUCCUUAUUUACAAGUUUAAUUAUCAAUUUGUAAUAUUUCAGGUUAUAAUAAUACUUCUCGAAUUUUUGGCACCCUAAACUUCGAAGCUUCGAAUAUUCGAAGCAAGUAAAAAAAGUGACGGCCCUAACAUUAAAUGCCUGUGGGCGUACAAAAUUUUAAUUCUUAAUUUCAAUUUCUUUUAUAAAGAGAAAUGUUCACUGUAUCGUCGCGACCUAUAACCUUAAAAUCGAUCGUGACAUCAAUGGAGUUGCAUAACCAUGCACGACGUACGUACACUUGAUACAUUUAUUUAAAACGUGGCAAUAAAGUUGUCCAAGGCCCACGCAGCAAUUAACGUACAUAUUUCGACUUCGCUGCAACGAAUAUCGAUACGACACGUUCGGUCGGCGUAUCGUGGGAGUGACUGUCAAUGGGCGUUGCUGAGUGCUGACGUCGCAAGUGUCGCGACGCAAUCCAUCUCACCUCAAGGCAUUGUAAACACUAAACGCUGCAUUUCGAAGAGAAGGGGAGAGAGAAAGAAGACAAAAGACGGAACUGCAUUUAUCAAGAAUUUUUAUAUACUAUUGUCAGGAUCACCUCUAGGCAGGUUACAACUGACAGCUGGAUUUAUUUACUACUGUCCAUUGUUAAUUAAUUUUACGCUUUUCAUUGA